ACCCCUCUACCAGCCUGGGAGGGCGUGGGGGAGGGAGGGCUGAGCUCCCGGGGGCUGGAGGCGGGCGCUGCGCCUUGGGGUGGGGACUCAGUGAGGGGAACCCGACGGCGGGAUACGACCAGAACGGCCCAGACACCGGCAGCGCGCCGAGAGGGUGAGUCCCCAGCAGAGUCCCGCCUCUUCUCUAAGCUCCCAGCAGCCAGACUGGGAACCCCAGCUGACUGGGCACCACACCACGCUGCCUGCCUCCAAGGAAACCUGACCUGAGGGGCAGACCGGGAAGGAAGCAGGCCAGGGAUUUGCUGCCGGCCCUCCUGUGCCCGCUGCCCAUCAGAGUCCAUCUCAGCUCUCAAAGGCAACCUCCUCCUAAAGCUCCCCUUCGUCCUAAUGUGACCGUGGGCGAGGUAAUGAACCUCAGUUUGUUUCAGCCUUAAAAUGGGAUAAUAGAAACCACUUCAGGCAAUUGUUGUGAGGAUGGAGUAAAGGAUGCAAAAUGCUGAUUAGCCCCUGGCACAGAGUAAACAGAAGUUUGCUCUGGUUGUUCUUUCCCCUGUGGCGUUGUGUGUACCUGCUGGGAGCUCUAGCCCCAUUCUCCCCGGCUUUGUCUCUGUCUUACCCCCUAGACUUUGAGCUCCUUGUGGGCAGGGCCCAUCCCUUUUCUACUUCAGGCGUCUCCUCCCGCCCCCAAGAUCCUGUGGUCUUUCAAGGGCUUGCCCAGAGGAGGGCUGGAGAGAGGCACUUAGAAUGGUCCAAUG